UGGGGAAUUUUGGACAAUGGGCGAAAGCCUGAUCCAGCAAUGCCGCGUGUGUGAAGAAGGCCUUCGGGUUGUAAAGCACUUUUGUCCGGAAAGAAAUCCUCUGGGUUAAUACCUCGGGGGGAUGACGGUACCGGAAGAAUAAGCACCGGCUAACUACGUGCCAGCAGCCGCGGUAAUACGUAGGGUGCAAGCGUUAAUCGGAAUUACUGGGCGUAAAGCGUGCGCAGGCGGUUUUGUAAGACGGAUGUGAAAUCCCCGGGCUUAACCCGGGAACUGCAUUCGUGACUGCAAGGCUAGAGUAUGGCAGAGGGGGGUAGAAUUCCACGUGUAGCAGUGAAAUGCGUAGAGAUGUGGAGGAAUACCGAUGGCGAAGGCGAGCCCUGGCCAAUGACUGACGCUCAUGCACGAAAGCGUGGGGAGCAAACAGGAUUAGAUACCCUGGUAGUCCACGCCCUAAACGAUGUCAACUAGUUGUUGGGGAUUCAUUUCCUUAGUAACGUAGCUAACGCGUGAAGUUGACCGCCUGGGGAGUACGGUCGCAAGAUUAAAACUUAAAUGAAUUGACGGGGUCAUAGCUGUUUCCU
rnacentral:rRNA from 1 species